GACGAACGCUGGCGGCGUGCCUAAUACAUGCAAGUCGAACGAGAGCGACCGGUGCUUGCACUGGUCAAUCUAGUGGCGAACGGGUGAGUAACACGUGGGUAACCUGCCCAUCAGAGGGGGAUAACAUCCGGAAACGGAUGCUAAAACCGCAUAGGUCUUCGAGCCGCAUGGCUUGAAGAGGAAAAGAGGCGCAAGCUUCUGCUGAUGGAUGGACCCGCGGUGCAUUGGCUAGUUGGUGAGGUAACGGCUCACCAAGGCCGUGAUGCAUAGCCGACCUGAGAGGGUGAUCGGCCACAUUGGGACUGAGACACGGCCCAAACUCCUACGGGAGGCAGCAGUAGGGAAUCUUCCGCAAUGGACGCAAGUCUGACGGAGCAACGCCGCGUGAGUGAAGAAGGUUUUCGGAUCGUAAAACUCUGUUGUUAGAGAAGAACAAGUGCUAGAGUAACUGUUAGCGCCUUGACGGUAUCAAACCAGAAAGCCACGGCUAACUACGUG
rnacentral:rRNA from 1 species